AGGAGGCAGCAGUGGGGAAUAUUCCGCAAUGGGCGAAAGCCUGACGGAGCGACGCCGCGUGAGGGAUGAAGCCUUUUGGGGUGUAAACCUCUUUUCCGAGGGAUGACAGCCUGCGCAAGCAGGGAGGACAGUACCUCGGGAAUAAGCCUCGGCUAACUACGUGCCAGCAGCCGCGGUAAUACGUAGGAGGCGAGCGUUGUCCGGAUUUACUGGGCGUAAAGCGCGCGCAGGCGGCUCACUAAGUAAGGUGUGAAAUCUCCCUGCCUAACGGGGAGGGUGCACUUUAGACUGGUGGGCUAGAGGGCGGUAGAGGGGGGUGGAAUUGCUGGUGUAGCGGUGAAAUGCGUAGAGAUCAGCAGGAACACCCGUGGCGAAGGCGGCCCCCUGGGCCGAACCUGACGCUGAGGCGCGAAGGCUAGGGGAGCGAACGGGAUUAGAUACCCCCGUAGUCCA
rnacentral:rRNA from 1 species